rnacentral:rRNA from 1 species
GCAUAUCAAUAAGCGGAGGAAAAGAAACUAACAAGGAUUCCCUUAGUAACGGCGAGUGAAGAGGGAAGAGCUCAAAUUUUAAAUCUAUCAUGUUUGUACAUGAUCGAGUUGUAAUUUGAAGAAGCGUUUUCUCGUACUUUAUGCAAUCAGUAUAAGUUCUCUUGGAAUAGGACAUCAUAGAGGGUGAUAAUCCCGUCUGUUACUGAUUGUGAGGUUCGUUUAUGAUACGCUUUCAAAGAGUCGAGUUGUUUGGGAUUGCAGCUCCAAAUGGGUGGUAAACAUCACCUAAGGCUAAAUAUUUGCGAGAGACCGAUAGCGAACAAGUACCGUGAGGGAAAGAUGAAAAGAACUUUGAAAAGAGAGUUGAAAAGUAUGUGAAAUUGUUGAAAGGGAAACGAUUGAAGUCAGUCGUGCAGUCAUCAAUUCAGCGGUUAACAUUUUAUGUUUCCGUGUAAUUUGGUGUCUGUUGGUUAGCAUCAAUUUUGAUUGUUAUAAAAAGGUUAAGGGGAUGUGGCUCCUUCGGGAGUGUUAUAACCCUUAGCGUAAUGUGACGAUUAGGAUUGAGGUUUGCAACGAAUACCUUUUAGGGCAGUUUCACCUGGCCUCUCGUGGAAUUAUAGAUAGUUAAGAGCAUGCUCUUACUGUCUAUGAUUCUGCGAAAAGGUUGGAGUGUAAAACUAAUUCGUUAAGGAUGUUGACGUA